UACGAAGGGAGCGAGCGUUGUUCGGAAUCACUGGGCUUAAAGCGUGCGUAGGCGGAUUGGUAAGUAAGAAGUGAAAUCCCAGGGCUUAACCCUGGAACUGCUUUUUAGACUGCCUGUCUGGAAUUCGGUAGAGGUUGGUGGAACUCCUAGUGUAGAGGUGAAUUCGCAGAUAUUAGGAAGAACACCGGUGGCGAAGGCGACCAACUGGACCGAUAUUGACGCUGAGGCACGAAAGCGUGGGUAGCAACAGG
rnacentral:rRNA from 1 species